ACAGUUUCUCAGUUGCUUCAGAAAUAGCCAAAUGAGCAAGCCAGGCCGGGGUGUGGUGCAGUGGCUGAGCACUUGGACAGCAUGUGGGAGGUCUGGGCUUCUGGCUCCAGCCCGCAAAUAAAGAAGAGCAAAUAACAGGACGUAGAAUUCUUCCAGGAACGUUUGCCUGUUUCAUCUCAUUUAAUCCUCAAAACGGACCUGCAUGGCUGAAGGGAAAGGGCCUGGGGAGAAGCAGCACUUAGACUCCAGAAUCUUCAUCAUGUUAUUUAACUCGGCUGCAGCACGGGCUGGGACUGACUGCGUUGGACGCUCACUCUCACUCGGUGUGUGACCUUGGGUCACCAAGAAAACAAGAAACAUCUCAUCCAUCUUUAACAUCACGGUAUCCUAGUAUGGAAAAGAAAACAAACAAACAAAACAAAUACUAAUUUAGCACAUGGCAGAGUUUCCUGCAAGAAUUAUUUCUGAGACGUGAGUUCAGAUUCCUUCUUCCCGUAUAUGGCUCUCAUCUCCAAGUCCCAAACUGCAUCCACAGAGCCCUGUUUCUCCAAAUCCUGUAACAUUGCCAAGUUCCGAAGAGGAGGACUUGAUGAUAUCUUUGGGCAGCCACUAGUAAGCCUAGGCCUCAGUUUACCAGUCUGUAAAAUAGCGACAAACAGACUUCCCUUGCAGAAUAUGUAUAGGGAUUGAGACUGUUUUUGAAGAGUCUGACAGACCUGCAAUAAUUAACAGCUGUUUUUGUUACUUGUAAUUCUUCAGUCACUGUGUUUCAUACAGUGAGAGGUCUCCGUAUACUCCUUGGUCUGGUUAUUUUUUCUCAUAAAUUUGAAUGAUUUCUGCACAUAUUUUGGUUUUAUGG